GUUUUCCUUUAAAAACGGAGCUAAAACACACAUGUAUUCUGAAAAAGCCCCAGUUCCAGCCGGCUGAAACCCCUGAUUCCACCCAAGCCGGCUUCUCUGCCCAGCUCCUGACACAGGGUGUGAAUUUCUGGAAGCCUGGGGAGAAGGCAGAGGUGUGGGAGGGCGGCAGCAGCCUUUGAGCUGCGGGCAUGUAACAAAUCUGUCCUCAGGGUCAGCAGCUUCCUCCGCACCGGCAGCCGCUGUGGGACGGGGAUCGCUCCUUGGACGCGGCCAUCGGGAAGACUUGAACGCAGAGCAGAACUCCUCAGCAGCCCGGACAGGAGACUGAACGUCAUUUCCACAUCGGCAGGAUGUGCAAUUUGGGAACGCAACGCGGGCCAAGGUUUCCAUUCUCGUCUGACUGUGUAAUUGCUGUGUGUGGAGACUCCAAGAAAAUCACCAAAUACCUCAGCAGUACAGAUCAGCUACCAGGGGAUUCCACAUCCAGUGUUUCCUAAGUUCUCCACGAUGCAGACAGCAGAUAUUUGUUUCUUCAGCACAAAUGUUUGCCAACACAAAUAACAGACUCUGCCCAUUACUGCAAGGCAAGAGUUUGACAUCCACCUCUGCCAAAUCCCAUCAGUUAAUCAGCAGAUUGAAAAGCCAGCAGGACAUCAGAAAGGACACACAGACACAGCAGCAGCAUGUGAACCACCUUGAUGUGCCAGACACCUUGAUGUGCUGGACACCUUGAUGUGAAGGACACCUCAAUGUGAUGGACACUUUGAUGCGAUGGACACCUCGAUGUGAUGGACACCUUGAUGUGAUGAACACCUGGACACGAUGGACACCUGGACAUUACGGACACCUCAAUGUGAUGGACACCUCAAUGUGAUGGACACCUUGAUGUGAUGGACACC